rnacentral:rRNA from 1 species
AGAGUUUGAUCAUGGCUCAGGACGAACGCUGGCGGCGUGCCUAACACAUGCAAGUCGAACGGAGAAUUUAGCAAUAAAUUCUUAGUGGCGAACGGGUGAGUAACGCGUAGACAACCUGCCUUCUAGCUGGGGACAACGUUCCGAAAGGGACGCUAAUACCGAAUGUGUUGCAUAGUCCGCAUGGGCUGUGUAAGAAAGGUGGCCUCUAUUUAUAAGCUACCGCUAGAAGAUGGGUCUGCGUCUGAUUAGCUAGUUGGUGAGGUAACGGCUCACCAAGGCGACGAUCAGUAGCCGGUCUGAGAGGAUGAACGGCCACACUGGGACUGAGACACGGUCCAGACUCCUACGGGAGGCAGCAGUGGGGAAUCUUCCGCAAUGGACGAAAGUCUGACGGAGCAACGCCGCGUGAGUGAAGAAGGUUUUCGGAUUGUAAAGCUCUGUCUUUGGGGACGAAUGUGCGAUCUGUAAAUAAUGGGUUGUAAUGACGGUACCCGAGAAGGAAGCCACGGCUAACUACGUGCCAGCAGCCGCGGUAAUACGUAGGUGGCAAGCGUUGUCCGGAAUUAUUGGGCGUAAAGCGCGCGCAGGUGGGAAUGUAAGUCUAUCUUAAAAGUGCGGGGCUCAACCCCGUGAGGGGAUGGAAACUACAUUUCUUGAGUAUCGGAGAGGAAAGUGGAAUUCCCAGUGUAGCGGUGAAAUGCGUAGAUAUUGGGAGGAACACCAGUGGCGAAGGCGACUUUCUGGACGAUGUCUGACACUGAGGCGCGAAAGCCAGGGUAGUGAACGGGAUUAGAUACCCCGGUAAUCCUGGCCGUAAACGAUGGGUACUAGGUGUUGGGGGUAUCGACCCCUCCAGUGUCGGAGUUAACGCAAUAAGUACCCCGCCUGGGGAGUACGGG